UGAGAAAAAAAAUGAAUUCCUCUUGCCUA
rnacentral:piRNA from 1 species